UGGCUCAGUGGCAGAGCACUUGCCUUGCAUGCAUGAGGCCCUGGGUUCAAUUCCUCAG
rnacentral:tRNA from 1 species